UUGACCUCGGAUCAGGUAGGAAUACGCGCUGAACUUAAGCAUAUCAAUAAGCGCAGGAAAAGAAACCAACAGGGAUUACCUCAGUAACGGCGAGUGAAGCGGUAAUAGCUCAAAUUUGAAAUCUGGCCUCUUGGGGUCCGAGUUGUAAU
rnacentral:rRNA from 1 species